rnacentral:rRNA from 1 species
AUUGAACGCUAGCGGGAUGCCUUACACAUGCAAGUCGAACGAGUGGCGAACGGGUGAGUAAUGUAUCGGAACGUGCCCAGUAGCGGGGGAUAACUACGCGAAACGUAGCUAAUACCGCAUACUAUUGGAGCGGCAGCUCUCUGAUUGGCUAGUUGGUGGGUUAACGGCUAACCAAGGCGACGAUACGUAGCUGGUUUGAGAGGACGAACAGCCACACUGGGACGGCGACACGGCCCAGACUCCUACGGGAGGCAGCAGUGGGGAAUUUUGGACAAUGGGGGAAACCCUGAUCCAGCCAUCCCGCGUGUGCGAAGAAGGCCUUCGGGUUGUAAAGCACUUUUGGCAGGAAAGCGGUACCUGCAGAAUAAGCACCGGCUAACUACGUGCCAGCAGCCGCGGUAAUUC